rnacentral:lncRNA from 1 species
GAGGAUGUUUACCUUGGUCACAGGAAAUGGGCCAUUACCAUUGUGACGUCGGCGCCCAUGGGUACUCUCCCUUUUCAAAACGUUUUGAAAGACAAUGCAACCAUCCCAAUGGAAUAUUAUUGAAGCCCUGGUUGAAAAAGCCCCUAAAGAUUUAUGUUAUACAACGUUUGACAUGUUUGAACGAACUUAAAUAUAUAUUUUUUGCUCAUUCCUGACGACAAGUCAGACGCACACGGUACAUUUUCACUAGCCUUCGGAGCGCGCUAACGCUAUUGGGACAUAAAUUAUUAACUUUUUUGAACAAAACUACAUUUGUUAUGGACCUGGGAUUCCUAGAAGUGCCUUCUGAUAAAGAUAAUCAAAGAUCCACAAGCCUGGACAACGGGUACGGAACGGAGCUCCUCAACCAGGACAUCCCCUGACCAUUCUUGCGGUGGUCUGCAGCUUGCAGAAAUCCUACCAGGGUAAACCAGCAGAAGGGGACUGCUGCUUUGAUCCACAAACCAGGACAACUUGUGGUCAUUUUUAUGGUGGGUUGCAACUUGCAGAAGGUUGAACCCAUCAGAGGAGGACUGUCAUGACUACAUGUGAGGAUCCAGUGGCUCAGAUCAGCUUGGCAGUGGUUGACAAAUAAUCAGGCCCUCCCUCACCCAUAGAAUGGGGGGGGGGCCUGGGCCAAUGUGUGUAAAGCGAGUUUGGAACUUUGACCAUCUACCCGAGGAAGAAAGGAUAAAAAUCCUCUCAGACAACCACAAGUACAGCUAAGUAGCUGCUCGGAGGUAGCUGCUCUGAGGAAACCGGACAACUAAGGACAUUGUGACCUCUGGUGGACAAUCAGAGCGUGUACAAGUGGCCCACAGGAAAGGCCAACAAAAACCCUUUCCAGAAGGUUUGGUUUCAACAGAGAUAGAUGACGAAUGGCAUUCAAACACGCAUCGUAAGGAUUGGACCAAGGUGCAGCGGGAACGUGUAUACUCAUCUUCUUUAUUUAAUUAAAAGAAGGAAAAAGAAACAAAUCAUGUAUACAAAACAACGAAGGACACUAACAGUCCUGUCAGGUGCACAGACACAAAACAGGAGACAACUACCCACAAAUCCCAUAGAAAAAACACCUCUUAAAUAAGACCUUCAAUUAGAAGCAACGAGGAGCAGCUGCUUCCAAUUGAAGGUCAACCCCAUUAACUAAACAUAGAAAUAGAAAGACUAGAACUAACAUAGAAAUAAACUAACAAGAACAUAGCCCAACAAACCUCAAAACACUUUAAACAAACACCCCUCUUACAUAGGAACAUAGCCCAACAAACCCCGAACCACAUAAAACAAACACCCCCUGCUACGUCCUGACCAAACUGCAAUAACAAAUAACCCCUUAUACUGGUCAGAACGUGACACCCUUUGUCUCUCUCUCUCUCUCCCUCUCUCCCCUCUAACGUUAUGUUGUAACAAGCCAUCUUAUCUUGUCAGUCCACUAGGGACUUUUCUCUCAUGUAAGUGUAUAUGUGUAUUCUGUGUUAUUAUUUAGUUAGUUCGUAAAUAAAUAAUUAAAUACAUUUGUGUAGUACUGAAUAAUCAGAAAAGGCUGGGGUUCUUGCGGAUCCAAGAAUGUUAUGACUGUUCAGAAUGAGACUGAUAUGAGGUAAUGAUUAAUAAGUGACUUAUCAAUAUAUAAACUUAUAUAUCUUCUAGAGUUUAAUUCGGGCGAUGGUAACUCAUUAAACAACUUCUUCUGUGGUGCCCCAAAUUCCUAAUGAGUUAUUUGUUACAUGAUUAAUUUAAUCAGGUAACAAUUAAACAUAGUUAGUGGAUUAAAUAAAUAACAGUCAUCAGAUUAAUGAAAGUUAAAGACACCAGUACCAAAAGUCUGUCUCACUGUGUUUGUUGCUAAUAAAAAUAAAUAUUGCCUUUUUUAACCAGUCUUAAUAGGGAUUUAUUGAACUUUAACAAACUACUUUAAUUGCUGUUGAACUUUAACUACGGUUAUUAAUUGAUGACAAAUCAUCCACUCUCAUUAAAGAUAAAACUAUUUUGUGCUUAAACUUGUUUAGGUGCAGUGCUAGCCUCAUAAACUUUACAUUGUCUUGAAUAAUGGCUAAAUGCUGUGGGCAACUGGAGUCAAUCAUAGAAAAUGUACUGAAUGUUCAGAGUUUGUAUUUCUUGAUAAGAUCAACAAAAUCAGUCAGUGAUUUCACACUUUUUUAAAUCCAAACAAACAAAGAUCAUUAUCAAAUCAGACAUAGGGAUGCUCAAAUACAGGUGGAAUUUCAAGCUAAAAAUGAGCAUGACAUUUAAAGUAUAAAACCAGACAAAACUACUAAUUUACAGCAUGAGGACACGACCAGAGUGGUAGAGACAUACAUGAAAGGUACAGUAUCUAGCUGUUGAGUUGAUUAUGUGGAUCAAAAAGUCAAAUCGCCUAUGGCAAGCCAGAUAUAUGAGGGACGGUUGGGAAAAUCCAUGUUAAUCCUGUAUGAUCUGAAGUGCUUUUGCUCCCGCGAUGGCAGACAGACAGACCAGACAGUAGCCAGCCUAGAGAGAGUUUUGGAAGUGUGAAGUGGAGCAUAGUUAUUUUUCAGGGAAAAGGAUGUUUAUGUGGUGUUUCCAUGGGUCGAAAGAGACUGGUGUGUGUGUGUGUUUGUGCAUGUGUGUGUAAGCAUGUGUGUCUGUGUGUGAGGAAUGGCGUGGAGAGGGUCAGCUGGCCAGCCGAUGGGGGCUUUUGCAUAACUGUGCCAUUGGUUAAGGACACGACCUGUCCUGCUGUCUCUCCAGCCCCCCCAAAAUCCUAGCCUCCCCAUUGGUUGAGGACAUGGUCCUGUCCUCCUCUCCCCGUAAACCCCAGCCUCCACCUUCACAUUCUGAGCCUACCUAUUGGUUAAGGACACACUCCCCCCAGCUUCCCCCAUCUCCCCCAGCUCGAUUGGUUAAGGACAGGUCCUGUCUCAGCCUCCCUGGUACUCCUCUGUGCUGUGUCAGCAGUGCUGCAAGGUUGAAUAUCCCAAAAGCACGGAGUACGUUCCAAAUUGCACCCUAUAUAGCACAAUAUAGGGAAUAGGGUGCCAUUUGGGACGCACAGGGAUCUUUCCUGCAGCUUCCUCCCAUUACCACACACAGUGCCCAUCAUAGCCCCUCUCAGUUCAGACUUGAUUAUACAUUUCAGGCAAAAAGGAUAAACAAGACAAAAUUCAAAAGACAAAAAAGGAAUAUAUUAACACACUCACCUACAGCAAUGUCCUGGGCACUGAAUACAGAACUCCACUUAAUAAAGAAAAAUAGGAAUUUCUAACAACGUUUCUGGGAAAAUUUCUGUUAUGAAAAUAAUUUUAUUACCUUGUCAUUGUCUGGUUGAUUUGAUUCAAAAUAUGUUUUUCUAGAUGUCACACAAGUUAACAGGAAACAAACUGCAUAGAAUGUCAAUGGCCAUUUAAUAUUCACGAUAUGUUGGGCCACAAUGAGUAAGAUCAAUAAGUUAUUCAUCAAUUGUAUUCAU